rnacentral:rRNA from 1 species
ACCAGACUCCUACGGGAGGCAGCAGUGAGGAAUAUUGGUCAAUGGGCGCGAGCCUGAACCAGCCAAGUCGCGUGAGGGAUGACGGCCCUACGGGUUGUAAACCUCUUUUGUCGGGGAGCAAAUUCCGUUACGUGUAACGGAGUCGAGAGUACCCGAAGAAAAAGCAUCGGCUAACUCCGUGCCAGCAGCCGCGGUAAUACGGAGGAUGCGAGCGUUAUCCGGAUUUAUUGGGUUUAAAGGGUGCGUAGGCGGGCUGUUAAGUCAGCGGCCAAAUGUCGGGGCUCAACCCCGGCCUGCCGUUGAAGCUGGCGGCCUCGAGUGGGCGAGAAGUAUGCGGAAUGCGUGGUGUAGCGGUGAAAUGCAUAGAUAUUGCGCAGAACUCCGAUUGCGAAGGCAGCCUACCGGCUCCUGUCUGACGCUGAGGCACGAAAGCGUGGGUAUCGAACAGGAUUAGAUACCCUAGUAUCG